rnacentral:rRNA from 1 species
AUUGAACGCUGUCGGCAUGCCUAACACAUGCAAGUCGAGCGAGCGGCGGACGUGUGAGUACUGUCUGGUAUACUGCCUGAUGGAGUGGGAUAACUACUGGAUACGGUAGCUACUACCGCAUCCCCUCACAUGUGCCCAGAUGUGAUUCGCUAGUAGGUGGGGUAACGGCUCACCUAGGCGACGAUCCCUAGAUGGUCUGAGAGGAUGACCAGCCACACUGGAAGUGAGACACGGUCCAGACUCUGACGGUAGGCAGCAGUGGGGAAGAUUGCACAAUGGGCGCAAGCCUGAUGCAGCCAUGCCGCGUGUGUGAAGAAGGCCUUCGGGUUGUAAAGAACUUUCAGCGGGGAGGCGUUACCCGAAGAAGAAGCACCGGCUAACUCCGUGCCAGCAGCCGCGGUAAUUC